ACACGACUACAUUAGAUACCCGCGUAGUCCUAGCCGUAAACGAUACUCGCUAGGUGUCGGCCACGGUGCGACCGUUGUCGGUGCCGUAGGGAAGCCGUGAAGCGAGCCACCUGGGAAGUACGGCCGCAAGGCUGAAACUUAAAGGAAUUGGCGGGGGAGCACCGCAACGGGAGGAGCGUGCGGUUUAAUUGGAUUCAACACCGUAAAACUCACCAGGGAAGACUGUUACAUGAAGGCCGAGAUGAAGACUCUGCUAGAUUUUCAG
rnacentral:rRNA from 1 species